GGGCGUGUGGCUCAGUUGGUAGAGCGUUCGCUUAGCAUUAUGAUUGAUUCUUCCAAGAAUCGCAUCUUGCGAAAGGUCCUAAGUUCGAUUCUUAGCUCGUCCA